AUUGAACGCUGGCGGCAUGCCUUACACAUGCAAGUCGAACGGCAGCACGGGUGCUUGCACCUGGUGGCGAGUGGCGAACGGGUGAGUAAUACAUCGGAACAUGUCCUGUAGUGGGGGAUAGCCCGGCGAAAGCCGGAUUAAUACCGCAUACGAUCUACGGAUGAAAGCGGGGGACCUUCGGGCCUCGCGCUAUAGGGUUGGCCGAUAGCUGAUUAGCUAGUUGGUGGGGUAAAGGCCUACCAAGGCGACGAUCAGUAGCUGGUCUGAGAGGACGACCAGCCACACUGGGACUGAGACACGGCCCAGACUCCUACGGGAGGCAGCAGUGGGGAAUUUUGGACAAUGGGCGAAAGCCUGAUCCAGCAAUGCCGCGUGUGUGAAGAAGGCCUUCGGGUUGUAAAGCACUUUUGUCCGGAAAGAAAUCCUUGGCCCUAAUACAGUCGGGGGAUGACGGUACCGGAAGAAUAAGCACCGGCUAACUACGUG
rnacentral:rRNA from 1 species